AUUUUAUGCCUCCUCCUUACCCACGUCUCCCCACCCUUCUAUCUUUAUCUCUCUGAUCUCCAGCCAAAUCACGUCUCACCUCCAUCCCUCUUUAUCUCUCUCUCUCUCUCUCUCCCUGUUCUUCUUCUUCCCGAAACUGCUCUCCUUCAACCACAGAUUUGGUUUCGUCUCCAUCCCUAUAUUCAGUUCCGUCUAGCUGUGCUUCAACCGCUCAGAUUUCUGAGGUUACGAUUUCAGAGGUUGCGAUUUCAUCGCUCAGAUUUUCUGAUUAUCUGAAAAUCACCAAGUCGACCAUUUUUUUUCUUGAAAGGCUUGCGGAGAUACCAGAAAACAGAGUUUCUGCAAAGCAUUACGGUUAAUUUUCAGGUUAAAUUCUUUCAGGCACGGGCAUACGCUAGUA